rnacentral:snoRNA from 1 species
UCUUCAGUGAUGAUUGAUUUCAGUGACUUUCGUUCUUCUGAUUCUACUGAAGCCAUCCUUCCUGUUCUGAGAAGA